GACAGAGGGUGCAAACGUUGCUCGGAAUUACUGGGCGUAAAGCGCGUGUAGGUGGCUUGUUAAGUCGGGUGUGAAAUCCCUCGGCUCAACCGAGGAAGUGCAUUCGAUACUGGCAAGCUCGAGUACCGGAGAGGGUCGUGGAAUUCCUGGUGUAGAGGUGAAAUUCGUAGAUAUCAGGAGGAACACCGGCGGCGAAGGCGGAUCUCUGGGCCAUUACUGACGCUGAGGAGCGAAAGCGUGGGGAGCGAACAGG
rnacentral:rRNA from 1 species